rnacentral:lncRNA from 1 species
CAGCUUGUAAUAAAUCAAAAAACUUUUAUUUUUAAGAUAUAUUAUAAAUUUACAACACACAACAUCAGUGUCCUUAGUGUGUGUGUGAGAGCAGGUUUAAAGACUCAGCGUUCAUUCUAGUCUCGUUCUUGGGUAUGACUCCGCCACAUGCUGAAGGCAGGUAACCGGUUUCAGUUUGAACAGGUCAGGCUUUGCUAGCGACCCGGCUAACUUCGAGGAAUACAUUUCAGUAGACAACACUUUGACUGGUUAAAGGUUAACAGAUCAGUAGCAAUUUCUUGAUUUUGCCUGCAGGGCUCCUGCACGAAGCAAAGCCCGCCGGWUUUCCCGUGCGGGAGAGGUCAGUGACCCACGCUGGCGUGCCUAGAAUGAACCCCGAACUCCACAGGCUCAGUGAGGUCUGCCCUAGCUAAGCCUCAUAAAAGUAACAUUACAUCUUCRAAACAGCUGUGCAUGCCACACAUCAGUGUCUGUUCCAUAUAAAAGUUACCAUACGCUGUACCUAAUUAUUUUAUACACAGGUGAAAUGAAAAAUGUUAAGUCAGUACCUCGCAAUAUAAUUUUACUGGUGCUGCUGUAAGUGCUGGAUAGCAAAUCACRUUCUUGUACAGUUCAUUAAGCUAUGAUAAAAAUACGCAAAUUAAAAACACUCUAUGGGGCCUCUGUUACCUGCUGCAACAAGAGACGCUUGGUUUUGUUGGGCUUAGUUUAAAACAUGAUUCAGUUGCUUUCCUCUCCCCAAAGCAUGAUAUAAAGCUAUAUCCAAAUUCAGAAAGAAUUUAAUGCAUUUAUGUUUACUGAAAUUCCUAUGCUGCAAAAAGUUCUGCAUUGAAGAUCUUUAGGGCAAGAGGUCCUUAACAAACCUUUUGUUAUACCUAGAUAUCAGGAUGCAGGUGACAACAACAGUCACGGUACCACAUUCGUGUAGACUCACUACCCACGGCUUGUGUUUCCUCCGUAGGAACCCAGGGAUUGCCACCCUGGCUCCAGAGAGGAGGAUUCGGUCACUAGUUCGCUUAUACCUCAAAGCAUAAGGACUUAUAACUGGAUGGAAAUACCCUGCUGCAAGUGCUGCUAUUCUACCAGUUAAUAAAAAUGCCACUUAUUAAAAGCA